rnacentral:rRNA from 1 species
UACGUAGGUGGCGAGCGUUUGUCCGGAUUUACUGGGCGUAAAGAGCGCGCAGGCGGUCGUUCAAGUCGCGUGUGAAAGCCCCCGGCUCAACUGGGGAGGGUCACGCGAUACUGAUCGACUCGAAGGCAGGAGAGGGAAGUGGAAUUCCCGGUGUAGUGGUGAAAUGCGUAGAUAUCGGGAGGAACACCAGUGGCGAAGGCGACUUCCUGGCCUGUUCUUGACGCUGAGGCGCGAAAGCUAGGGUAGCAAAAGGG